ACUCGACACAGAUCUUAGCUAGGUAAGUUGUGAUAAACUGUGGGUAAUUUGCAUGUUCACUGAAAUAUUAAUCAGCUGAUAUUAAACUUGAAAUGUUUUCACAGAGCAGUCUGUGUACCAAGAGAACUACUUCUGCAAAGGUUUAUUUAAUUUUUUUUGUGACGUAUUCUCAUGUGUAAGACACUUGCUUGGCCACCCAGCUAAUGUUAGUACUGCUCUAUUUUAGCAAUGUAUCCUUUCUCUAAUUAAUUCAUUUUUUUAACCCUAUUCUCGUAAUUAACUCAAUAUUAACGACUUUAAUCUCGUAACUGAUUUUUUUUUCUAAAUAUGGUGUAAUACUGCCUCGUAAUACAAGUUAUUUCUUUGGUCACAAAUUAUUUUUGUAACCAUUUCACCAAAACAGACCUGAAAUAAUCCCUACAUGUUCCAUUUUCAUUUGCAGAAAUUAUAAAGCCAAAAACCAAACCAUGCCCUUCCUGUCAGGCUCCAAACACCUGCAACAGGAAGACAUGCAGUGGAUGCCUGGGCAGCCUGAACGUAAAGGAGGGAUUGAAAAAAAAAAAACAAGAACAGCAACUGGGCUGCCUCUGUUAAAAAAAAAAACAGAAAUGCGAGCAGGGUGGUCAAUUCAGCCCAGUUAUCAGUAAGGUUUCAAAACUACACGCCCUGGGCUACCAGCCUAUUCUGUUUCUUGGACAGUUUGACCGAAAGGGCCGUAUAGUAGGGGACGUGAUCACAUAGAGCCAGCGGAUGGUGCUGCACGUGACAUCCUCAUGAAGAUGAGGAAACUUUAUGAACACCUUCUGAGAAAAUUACAAGCUUCACCUCCUGCUGAAAGUUCUACACCAGCAGCUGGACCAUCCUCUGCUGACAGUGUCGAUGCUGGACCAGUCCCAGACCCAGAGGCUCUAAACUAAGAAUUUAUUCUUCAUUUAGAGCCUGAACCAACAUCUUCCCUCUGUCAGCCUCCUGUAUCCUCCUCUUCAUCUCUGCUUCCUCCUGCAUCCUCCUCUUCAUCUCCGCUUCCUGCAUUUCCCUCAAUUUCUACGGCGUACACCUCGGAUGUCCCAAACAAAAAAAGGACAAGGAAAGAAUGCCAAAAACACCGUACACAGAAGAUUUUCAAAUAUGAAGAGAUAGUAGACAGGAGAGUUGUAAAUGAAAAAGAAGUUAAAGUCAAGUGGAAGCCCUGCUCGAUAUGGUAUGUAGUAACAACUUUGUUGGACCGGAACAGACAAUUAUAUUGUUGAUAAAUAGUUAUCACCUCAGUUUGAAUUCAUGUAUUUGGACUAAAGUAAAUUGGGAGCUUUUAGCUUUUAGCUGAGGAGCUUGAUAGCAGUCCACCUCCAAAGUUCAUUAUGAGAUUUGGAGGUGGACAUGGUCAACACUUUUAAGAGUAGGCAUAAGACUUUACUUCUUUAUAGAGCUUAUAGUUAGGGCUGGUUCAGGUCAGCCUUUAGUUA